rnacentral:rRNA from 1 species
GAUGAACGCUGGCGGCGUGCUUAACACAUGCAAGUCGAGCGAGUGAGUUCUUCGGAACGAUCUAGCGGCGGACGGGUGAGUAACACGUGGGCAACCUGCCUCAUAGAGGGGAAUAGCCUCCCGAAAGGGAGAUUAAUACCGCAUAAAAUUAUCGAGUGGCAUCACAUGAUAAUCAAAGGAGUAAUCCGCUAUGAGAUGGGCCCGCGGCGCAUUAGCUAGUUGGUGAGGUAACGGCUCACCAAGGCGACGAUGCGUAGCCGACCUGAGAGGGUGCUCGGCCACAUUGGGACUGAGACACGGCCCAGGGCCCUACGGGAGGAAGCAGUGGGGAAUAUUGCACAAUGGGGGAAACCCUGAUGCAGCAACGCCGCGUGAGUGAUGAAGGUCUUCGGAUUGUAAAGCUCUGUCUUUGGGGACGAUAAUGACGGUACCCAAGGAGGAAGACACGGCUAACUACGUGCCAGCCGCCGCCGUAA